rnacentral:rRNA from 1 species
CACGUAGGGUGCAAGCGUUGUCCGGAAUUAUUGGGCGUAAAGGGCUCGUAGGCGGUCCGUCACGUCGGGAGUGAAAACUCGGGGCUCAACCCCGAGCCUGCUUUCGAAUACGGGCGGACUAGAGGUAGGUAGGGGGAGAACGGAAUUCCUGGUGUAGCGGUGAAAUGCGCAGAUAUCAGGAGGAACACCGAUGGCGAAGGCAGCUCGCUGGGACGGUACUG